rnacentral:lncRNA from 1 species
UUUUUUUUUUUUUUUUUUUUUUUUUUUUUAGAACAGUUCGAUUUUGGAAGACAUAUAGGCAACUGCAGAACUCUGCAUGGAGGGAGACUCUGGGAACUUUAGUACUACCUUAGAACCUGGAACUCAUAGAAAAUGUUACCUUGGUAAUUUUAAAUACUCCUUCCCCUAGACAUCUUACAAACAUGGUGACCAUUGUUCUCACUAAAAAAAAAAAAAAAAAACACAAGUUCUGAUGUUGCUCACCAGGGAAAAAGUCUAUUGGAAAUGUGGAAAUGAAGGGACAUUACCUCAUGAAGUAAGGUAUCUGCUUAUAAUAUAGGAGUGGUUAGCCUAUCAUAUACUUAAAAAAAUUCUUCAAGAGAAUUGGAAAGUGCUAAAAAAGAUAUUGAGCUAGCAUUAAAAAAAAUCUACUGUGAGAAACUUAUUUGAUUAUAGCUUCCAAAGUACUAAACAUCAAUACGUUUAAGUACUGUUCCACUUAAAACUACAAUUCUUUCUCAUAAGCAAAGUCUUCAAAAUCCCGAGUAGUCUACUCACCACUGAUGAGUGACGAGCUCAUACUUACGAGAAUGUGUUGCCACUGACAGUGAACAAAAAGAACUAUGUAGCCUCUGAAGGACUGUUUAAUGCCAAACUGUCUUUUACUACAUUAAGAAAACAAUAAAACUAGAAAUAAAGGUGACAGCAAAAUGUACUGUGAGUGAGUGCUUUCAUACACAGCAAUUACUUUACUUGGAAAAAUCAUUCUAUUAGGUUAUAGUGGUUGCUCUGUUUCUAUCUUACUAUAAAAACCUGCUACAUCUUACUAACACCUACUUUUUGACAGCACAAUUCAUGCUUCAUAUUAAUUUAGAAAAAUAUUUAAGAAAAUAAUUCAUAACCUGAUUGUUUACUGAAAGGAAACAAACAGUCAGAUUUUUAGGGCUGCCCUCUUGGGGUGUGGCAAAGGUAUUGUGAGUCACUGUGAGUAGCUAGUCUAGUUUGCAUUACCAGACUCGCUUCCUGAACAUAAAAUUGUGUCUUGUACAACCAGAACUAACAACUGUUUGCAAACUGAAAUAUAAUUUUUAAAUGAAAGCAAAAAUUUGGCAUUUUGAUUCGGUUCUAUCUAAUAUGUUUGGAUUGUGUUUAUCUAGAAGAUAAUAUCCUGUUGGGGAAAAGCUAAUACUAAAUUUAAUAAAUAUUGUAGCAUUAUUUAUUAAUUCAGAUUGUCUUGGUUGAAAUUAAAUAGCAACAAACAAGGAUGAGAUUCUUAGAAUCCAUGAUGACAUCAAAAGCCAAGAUAAGUUUUUGCUGCUUUGAUUUUAUAUAAUUUUGCCAACAUUUAUCAAAGACUUAUUGAUGUUUUCCUAUAAACUUAGGGAUGUUCAAAUGGCAGAUUUAAUGGUUUUAAAUGUUAUUGAUAUGUUGAGUGUGGAUCAAAUUUAGUUUACUAUAGAUAUUUAAUAAAAUUGAUUACUAACUUUUAUGAAAUAUUGAAUAUAAUUUUUUGAACAUCACAAGUUCCCAAUUUGGAGAGCUCAGAGAGGAAAUUAUUUCAUUCAUUUUCAAUCUAAGAACAUACUUUAAUGCACACCUUUGGACACAUAUUAAAAGAAUACAAUGUAUACAUUUUUUUUAAAUUCCCAUGUAAAAAUCCCAUGUAAAAUUACAUAUGAUACUAAGUAGGCAAAAUGCAGUGUAGAGCAGUCAUUCUGUUACAGAAGUGGAAUGUCAGCACUCAGUUUUUAUAUCCAUACUUAUAACAUCAGUGAUUUUGUCUGUUGGUACAGUUGUACUGGAUGCAUAUGAACAUCCAGAAAGGAUACAGAGAGUUGGGCAGAUGGUGCUGGCUUUACAGGCAUCAGAGUUUCGGGAUCAAUGGCAUCUUUUCUUUGGCACGUCUCCUUUAAGUAUUUUCACAAGAACAAAUAAUGAAUGGAAUCCCUAGGAAGUUCACAAUAACUAUGGCAGUUGUCUUGUAAUUUUGCUUACUUCUUAGUGAUUGGUUCAAACUUCUGUCCUUUUAUUUCAAGUGAUUAGUUGUUAUAGACUAUCACUUUUUAAUGUGAGUGAAUAUUUGAUAAUUUGGUUAUGCUUGCUCCAAAACAAAUCUAAUUAAUGGGCACUUCCUGCUGAGAUUUGUUAUCAUUCACUUAAUUAUCUUGCCAAGCUAACUGUUGGAGCAGUUGUCAUCAUCUUUUAGUCAAUAUAGUAAUGAAAUGUCUCCAAUAGCCUUCUGCUUCUCCUUUGCUUGACAUGUCAACAACACAAACUUCAGCUUUUCAUCAAAAUUCUAAGCUCCCUACUCAUGUGAUAGAUUGGGCUUCCUUGAUUUAUUCCUAUAAAUUAUCCUAUAAAUUAUGAAUUGGUCUUAUUUUAGCACUCAGUUGUAUUUUUAUUUAGGGCAGAAAUCAAUUCAAUUUGUUUAGCACUACAGAAAAUACAAACUGGAAAAUCCACCUGUGGUGCUUAAGUGCCUUCUCCUUUUGUUAUUAUGUUUAGAAAUCUUCAUUUGAUUUAAAAUUUAUAACUCCUGAUAAUGCCACUUAAAAGAUAAAACAGAAUGGAUAAGGUGUUAAUUGCCAAUAAAGGAAAUCUAUUGGGAAGGUCUGGGUUUAAUUUGAGUUUGUAUUAU